ACAUAACCGGGGAUAUAUCACAGCCUCUGAUCUGCGCGCGGUGCUACAGUGUCUGGGUGAGGAUCUGUCUGAAGAGGAAAUUGAGGACAUGAUCAAGGAGGUGGACGAAGAUGGCGACGGGAGAAUCGAUUUCUACGAAUUUGCACGUUCACUGGUGGAGCCGGGGGAGGACGAGGACGAGGAGGAGGAUGAGGAAGAAACACCCCAGUCGCCGCCCUUCUAGGAUCCGUCGAGGCCACCAGUCCAUAUCCUCAAUUCCGAAAUAUUCUUAUUCAAUUUUAUUCGUUAGUCGAAAUAAACUGAUCGAUCUAAGAAUUUUAAACAUAAUUAUGAUGAUAACGUUGAUAUUUCAAAGCACUUUUAUUAGUCAUAAUUAAAUCAUUACUCCUAAAGCUCGAGCACACGAAGGGGAAACGAUCUCGAAUCAAGAAUAUUCUUCUUAAUUCAAGAAUUAUUCAGUAAUAAAUUGAAUUAAUAUGGAAUUAUCUUUGUGAUGAGCGGAUUUGUUAUGAACGAACGUCAAUUUUCGUCAAUUUUUGCAAAACAAAAAUUGAUGUCAUUUCGUGGAAAGAAAAAAACGCAUUGUUCUGGUUUUUUUAAAUUAAUGAAAGUAUUUUUCUUUCGAGAAUUGUUUUCUCCUCGUGAAUUUUGUCACUUCAUGAACGCACAGGCGUGCACUACACACGUGUAACUAUUUGUGUAUACAUAUGUAUGUAUCAUGUACAUUUAAUUAAUCAAUUAACCAAUUGCUCGCUUUCUCGUGAGUUUCAAUGGGUCUCCAUUACUGGAGGCAUCACCGUCUGCACGUAGUGAAAUUUCUAUUAUAAUUUACCCUCGAUUUUUAAUGAAAAUUGCAAUACUUCAGGCGCAUUCUCUCCGAACAUGUAAGAAUUUUCACAAGUCUUUUGCUGGAUUUUUUCGUAAAAAAACCUAGCGGAUGCGAUAAGAAAUUCUAUUGAAGGUCUAUGGAAUUUUCUAUUACUUUUUGGCCGAUUCGAUUGACAAAAUGCGUAGCUUUACCACACGUUUUUAAUAGGAAAUGUCCAAUACAAACUGUUUUAUAAAAAAAUCAGUUGAAUUUCAUCUUUCUGUACAACUUUUUCUCCAGGAAUUCCUUGAUAUGAAUUUUCAAUUUUUUCCCGCUCUAUUUUUCUCCUCUUUUCAUUGAAAU